AUUUGCCCAGUGUCAAAGGCCACUGUUCCGGGGAAGAUGAGCUGGGUUGGCCUUGAAGAAACAGGUCUAUGAGAAAAGUGGGAUGGAAAGGAUUUGAGCCUGAUGAAUUUGUCGGAAGCCGGAAUGGAGCGCAGGUGCAGGUGUUUGUCAAGGAUCAACCCCUGCAAGUGGAAGGGGAGGAGGAGAGGCAGCCGGACAGGAAGAUGAACUUCCUUGGAGGUGGUCAUAAACACCCCUCAGGAUAUGAUGUGAGCAAUGACCUCUCUGCCCAGAAGAAAGAAUGCAUGUGUGCUCACUGUAAAUACGUUGCCAGUAAUGUCAAAGGGUUCGUGAAUGUUCCAAAUCCCACCCUAGGGUCCUUACAGCAGACAAACCUCAUCACAGUUGGCCUGAGAGUGAAUUUCAUCCUUCUCGUGGUGUUGAAAGUUACAUCCAACUGUAUGUCAAUGGAAGCUCAACAUCAAAAUCGUUCUGGGUGCUCCCCCCUGCAUUAUUUCAUUUGAUCCUUACCACCCACCUUCGAGUUGGAUGUCGUUGGUCCUGUUGACAUAUUGGGAAACUGAGGUCCUGAGAGGAUAAAUGGUUGGCCUGAGAUCACCCUACUACUGAGUGGUUGAGCCAGGAUGUGACAAGAGCUCUGUUUACCUCUGCGAGCUCCCACUCAAUCUUCCAGAAGUUCUCAGCUCUGUAGAAGCUUGUCAGUUGCAAGGGGUGUGGAAGACAAGGAAAGUACACAAAGAAGCACAAUGCAAAGACAGAGAUAAUUGCCACAGUCUACCCAAGGAACAAAGCUGGUAUGAGAAGGAACAUCCCAUCAGGUUCAUUAAACGUGUGAUA